rnacentral:rRNA from 1 species
AUUAGGUGCUUGCACCUUUCAAGUGAGUGGCGAACGGGUGAGUAACACGUGGGCAACCUGCCUCAAGGCUGGGGAUAACAUUUGGAAACAGAUGCUAAUACCGAAUAAAACUUAGUGUCGCAUGACAUAAAGUUAAAAGGCGCUUCGGCGUCACCUAGAGAUGGAUCCGCGGUGCAUUAGUUAGUUGGUGGGGUAAAGGCCUACCAAGACAAUGAUGCAUAGCCGAGUUGAGAGACUGAUCGGCCACAUUGGGACUGAGACACGGCCCAAACUCCUACGGGAGGCUGCAGUAGGGAAUCUUCCACAAUGGGCGAAAGCCUGAUGGAGCAACGCCGCGUGUGUGAUGAAGGCUUUCGGGUCGUAAAGCACUGUUGUAUGGGAAGAACAGCUAGAAUAGGAAAUGAUUUUAGUUUGACGGUACCAUACCAGAAAGGGACGGCUAAAUACGUGCCAGCAGCCGCGGUAAUACGUAUGUCCCGAGCGUUAUCCGGAUUUAUUGGGCGUAAAGCGAGCGCAGACGGUUUAUUAAGUCUGAUGUGAAAGCCCGGAGCUCAACUCCGGAAUGGCAUUGGAAACUGGUUAACUUGAGUGCAGUAGAGGUAAGUGGAACUCCAUGUGUAGCGGUGGAAUGCGUAGAUAUAUGGAAGAACACCAGUGGCGAAGGCGGCUUACUGGACUGCAACUGACGUUGAGGCUCGAAAGUGUGGGUAGCAAACAGGAUUAGAUACCCUGGUAGUCCACGCCGUAAACGAUGAGUGCUAGAUGUAGGGAGCUAUAAGUUCUCUGUAUCGCAGCUAACGCAAUAAGCACUCCGCCUGGGGAGUACGACCGCAAGGUUGAAACUCAAAGGAAUUGACGGGGGCCCGCACAAGCGGUGGAGCAUGUGGUUUAAUUCGAAGCAACGCGAAGAACCUUACCAGGUCUUGACAUACUCGUGCUAUUCCUAGAGAUAGGAAGUUCCUUCGGGACACGGGAUACAGGUGGUGCAUGGUUGUCGUCAGCUCGUGUCGUGAGAUGUUGGGUUAAGUCCCGCAACGAGCGCAACCCCUAUUGUUAGUUGCCAUCAUUAAGUUGGGCACUCUAACGAGACUGCCGGUGAUAAACCGGAGGAAGGUGGGGAUGACGUCAAAUCAUCAUGCCCCUUAUGACCUGGGCUACACACGUGCUACAAUGGAUGGUACAACGAGUCGCGAGACAGUGAUGUUUAGCUAAUCUCUUAAAACCAUUCUCAGUUCGGAUUGUAGGCUGCAACUCGCCUACAUGAAGUCGGAAUCGCUAGUAAUCGCGGAUCAGCACGCCGCGGUGAAUACGUUCCCGGGCCUUGUACACACCGCCCGUCACACCACGGGAGUUGGGAGUACCCGAAGUAGGUUGCCUAACCGCAAGGAGGGCGCUUCCUAAGGUAAGACCGAUGACUGGGGUGAAG